AGAGUUUGAUCCUGGCUCAGGACGAACGCUGGCGGCGUGCCUAAUACAUGCAAGUAGAACGCUGAAGAGAGGAGCUUGCUCUUCUUGGAUGAGUUGCGAACGGGUGAGUAACGCGUAGGUAACCUGCCUUGUAGCGGGGGAUAACUAUUGGAAACGAUAGCUAAUACCGCAUAACAAUGGAUGACACAUGUCAUUUAUUUGAAAGGGGCAAUUGCUCCACUACAAGAUGGACCUGCGUUGUAUUAGCUAGUAGGUGAGGUAAUGGCUCACCUAGGCGACGAUACAUAGCCGACCUGAGAGGGUGAUCGGCCACACUGGGACUGAGACACGGCCCAGACUCCUACGGGAGGCAGCAGUUGGGAAUCUUCGGCAAUGGGGGCAACCCUGACCGAGCAACGCCGCGUGAGUGAAGAAGGUUUUCGGAUCGUAAAGCUCUGUUGUAAGUCAAGAACGGGUGUGAGAGUGGAAAGUUCACACUGUGACGGUAGCUUACCAGAAAGGGACGGCUAACUACGUGCCAGCAGCCGCGGU
rnacentral:rRNA from 1 species